UGCAACAUUACGAUCAUAAUGUAACGACCCUGGGUUUAUAAGCGCGGAUAUCGACUCUGCCACACGAGCAUGUUUUUGGGGCACAGUCGAUGGCUCGCAGUACUUCGGGCUAGAAGGUCGAGUGUUCGAGGCCUGCUCCCUGCCUGUUUUAUUACAAUAAUAUGGCAUUGAAUGCAAUAUGUUUCAACGAGUAAAAAAAUAAUAAACCUAGACUAUGGACUUGCCAGCAUUCAGUCAUGACAUAAGCUAGGGAAAGUGCACAUACACUGUACAGCGAACCAGGCUACAGUAACCUAACCAGAAUACAUCCAUGAACGUAACACAGUAGUAGCCUGUGUGAUACAGCACAGACAAAGAUCAUUAGAGCCAUUAGUACCAGCAUUACAAGUUACUACAUUAAUAUGCAGCUCUGGGAAAAACUAAGAGACCACUCAUAAUUUUUUUCCGAGCUGUAUUAAUGUAGCCUACUGAUAUACUAAUGAUAGUAAGUAUAAUAAUAGAGUAUUUUCUUUGCAAAUGUGUUCUCCAGGUCGAUGAAGACGGCUGCACAGUACUGUCUUUUAUCGAUGGCGGUUAUGAUAUCGUUUAGUACCUUGAGUGUGGCUGAGAUGCACCCGUGACCAGCUCGGAAACCGGAAUGCACAGCGAAAAAGGACCAUUUGGUGGACCGACUGUCCUCUUUUGGAUUCCAGACGAAACCUGCUUAACUAGCCUACUGCUUCUGGCAUCUACUGUAUGGAGAGCAGUGGCAACUGCUGCUGCUGUUGAAAACUUUCAAAUGGUUCCGGACACUGGCUUCCUCCACGGCCGCAUGGCCCUUGUCUCGAAGAGGAGGACAGAAGUGAUUGUGCUUCUAUUUGAUUCAAAAAUCUAUUGAGGAGGAAGUCAGGAAGACAAUGAGAUUUUUCCAUCUAUCUACUGUAUUGCUCUCUCCAAGAAUAGGCUGAAGGUAAUUUCCUCGCUUUCUGUUCCCUGUCCAUCAGUCUUAGGGCAGUGUGUCAGCAUUUAAAAUGAUGUAGGCUAUCAAGAAAGUAAGAUUUCAUUUUAGAUUUGUGAAGAAAGUUUAAAGUUGGUGGUUUGAUUUUUGUAGCCAAUGUGUUUGUCUUAAGUUUGUACUCUUUCUCCCUCUCUGACCCCUCUUCUUCCUCCUCUGUAAUUCACAUGUUGGUGGAGUAGCAGGAAGCCAAGAGGGGACAAGACUGAGAAACAGGGUUAAUUCUCUCCCCACCACUCUCUUAAAGGAAAAUUCCACACAUUAGUUCAUUGUUGACAUAGUCUCAAAAUGUUUUGUUUGUCAGCAAUCAAGUUUUCAAAAUACGGGGAUGAUUUCUGUAUUUUGAAAGUUACAUAUCUUGAAAACUUGAUUGCUGAUAAGCAAAACAUUUUGGGACUACACUCUUAGAAAAAAAGGUGCUAAAAGGACCUAAAAGGGUUCUUCGUCUGUCCCCAUAUGAUAACCAUUUGAACAACUCUUUUUGGUUCCAGAUAGAACCCUUUUGAGUUCCAUGUAGAACCCUUUACACAGAGGGUUCUACAUGGAACAGAGAAUAGUUCUACCUGUAAUCUAUAAGGGAUCUACCUGGAACCAAAAAGGGUUCUCAUAUGGGGACAGCUGAAAAACCCGUUUGGAACCCUUUUUUUCUAAGAGUAUCAACAAGGGACUAAUGAAACAAAUACCAAAAUAUUGUUUUGGGGUGGAGUUUUCUUUUAAUGGUGUCUGGCAAAGAGAAACGGCAAUAUCGGCGAGCCGCAUGGCCGCCAACUCCAGACUCUCCUCUGGAACAUAAAAUCAGUCUGUGAAUGCAACUUUCAUUACGUUUGUGAAACGUUUAGAGGUGAAGUGAUUGGAGCAGACCCCGUCUACGUAAAUCAACAGCCUCUUCAAUGUUUGUCCUCCCUCAUCUGAAUCGUUAUACUGAAAUGAGAAUACUUGAAAGGUUAUACUUUAUUUGUUGAUUUCAGGUUCAGAUACUCUAAGUCAACAUAAUUGGUUGUUUUGCCUCACUUUGAAGAGUUUUGUUUUUCAUCAUCACAAUCUGGUGGUUAGGCACCUGCUUUCAUUAAUUUAGCGCUAACCCUCUAUCUUCUGAGGCGUCGACUAAAUGAGCAAAUUGUAAUGGUUUACUGUCUCUCCUCUGUAACUGCCAAUCAAAUAUGUAUCCUUUCACUUUGCCUGACUAUAUUCCCUUACUGUGUCUCAAUGAGAGAGAUAUAUAUACUGUAUAUUUAAUAUUUCUUUACUAAAGCCUGUUGUAAAACA